rnacentral:rRNA from 1 species
UACGGGGGGGCAAGCGUUGUUCGGAAUUACUGGGCGUAAAGGGCUCGUAGGCGGCCAACUAAGUCAGACGUGAAAUCCCUCGGCUUAACCGGGGAACUGCAUCUGAUACUGGGAUGGCUUGAGAUUGGGAGAGGGAUGCGGAAUUCCAGGUGUAGCGGUGAAAUGCGUAGAUAUCUGGAGGAACACCGGUGGCGAAGGCGGCAUCCUGGACCAACACUGACGCUGAGGAGCGAAAGCCAGGGGAGCAAACGGG